UACGUAGGGGGCAAGCGUUGUCCGGAUUUACUGGGCGUAAAGAGCGUGUAGGCGGCCAAGUAGGUCCGGUGUGAAAACUCGAGGCUUAACCUCGAGAUGUCAUCGGAAACCAUUUGGCUAGAGUCCGGAAGAGGAAAGUGGAACUCCUGGUGUAGCGGUGGAAUGCGCAGAUAUCAGGAAGAACACCACGGCGAAGGCAGCUCGCUGGGACGGUACUGACGCUGGAGACGCGAAAGCGUGGGGAGCGAACAGG
rnacentral:rRNA from 1 species